rnacentral:rRNA from 1 species
CCUACGGGCGGCAGCAGUGAGGAAUAUUGGUCAAUGGGCGCGAGCCUGAACCAUCCAAGUCGCGUGAGGGAAGACGGUCCUAUGGAUUGUAAACCUCUUUUGUCGGGGAGCAAAAGACGCCACGCGUGGCGUUCCGAGAGUACCCGAAGAAAAAGCAUCGGCUAACUCCGUGCCAGCAGCCGCGGUAAUACGGAGGAUGCGAGCGUUAUCCGGAUUUAUUGGGUUUAAAGGGUGCGCAGGCGGACGAUCAAGUCAGCGGUAAAAUUGAGAGGCUCAACCUCUUCGAGCCGUUGAAACUGGUUGUCUUGAGUGAGUGAGAAGUAUGCGGAAUGCGUGGUGUAGCGGUGAAAUGCAUAGAUAUCACGCAGAACUCCGAUUGCGAAGGCAGCAUACCGGCGCUCAACUGACGCUCAUGCACGAAAGUGUGGGUAUCGAACAGGAUUAGAUACCCCAGUAGUC